GCCUAGGUAGUUCGGUUGGUAGAGCAUGAGACUCUGGAUUUCAGGGUCGUGGGUUCGAGCUUCACCUUGGGCA